AUUUGAUGAUGUGGGCAUUGUAUAUGAAGAUCAUUAAAUCUAUCCCAAGCUUCGUAAAGUUGAUCUUCAUUAGGUUUUUGUAUAAAUGUUUGAAUUCUAUUUCGCAUAUC